rnacentral:ncRNA from 2 species
CAGCAGACUGGAAGCUGAAAUUCAGAGGCGGUAGCCAU